ACGGGAGGCAGCAGUGGGGAAUAUUGCACAAUGGGGGAAACCCUGAUGCAGCGACGCCGCGUGAGUGAAGAAGUAUUUCGGUAUGUAAAGCUCUAUCAGCAGGAAAGAAAAUGACGGUACCUGACUAAGAAGCCCCGGCUAACUACGUGCCAGCAGCCGCGGUAAUACGGAGGGGGCAAGCGUUAUCCGGAUUUACUGGGUGUAAAGGGAGCGUAGACGGUAAGGCAAGUCUGAAGUGAAAUGCCAGGGCUCAACCCUGGAACUGCUUUGGAAACUGUCCUACUAGAGUGCAGGAGAGGUAAGUGGAAUUCCUAGUGUAGCGGUGAAAUGCGUAGAUAUUAGGAGGAACACCAGUGGCGAAGGCGGCUUACUGGACUGUAACUGACGUUGAGGCUCGAAAGCGUGGGGAGCAAACAGGAUUAGAUACCCUGGUA
rnacentral:rRNA from 1 species